CCUGCUCCUCUUCCCCAUCCGCAGAGCCAAUACCAUGAAACAUCCUGGCAAACAGCACAGCACACCUCUACCUAAGAGAACCACCUGGAAUCAAGACGCCGGCCCGCAGCUGCGCAUGGAGAAAGAAUGGGAAGCUGUUAACACUGCAAAGGUUUUGCUCUUAUGAACAGCAUUGAGUGACGCUUCAGCGUUACUGCCUGAACAGAAGCUGUUACAGCUGUGACUUCCUUCUCUUACAUAUUUCUCAGGCAAGUUCUUGCAGAUUCCCUUACAUGACUCUGGCUGAACAUUAUACUAACAUCUCUUAUCUCUCACCAGGAACGUGUGCCCUUUAGCGGCUCAGUCAAGAGGAUGGACAAGUACUGCUGUAACAGUGUGUAGCCUCAGUCAGGAGCAAGAAGAGUUUUAUACAGUGGUCAAAAGUUAAAGGCACCCCAAAUGUCCAUCAGCUGAUGAAUGGAUGAACAAAAUAUGGUAUAAUGGAAAAGUAUCUCACAAUAAACAGAAAUAGAGUACUGAUACCUGCUACAAGA